rnacentral:rRNA from 1 species
CCGCGUGUGUGAAGAAGGCCUUCGGGGUUGUAAAGCACUUUCAGGCGGGGAGGAAGGCGUUAAGGUUAAUAACCUUGGCGAUUGACGUUACCCGCAGAAGAAGCACCGGCUAACUCCGUGCCAGCAGCCGCGGUAAUACGGAGGGUGCAAGCGUUAAUCGGAAUUACUGGGCGUAAAGCGCACGCAGGCGGUCUGUCAAGUCGGAUGUGAAAUCCCCGGGCUCAACCUGGGAACUGCAUUCGAAACUGGCAGGCUAGAGUCUUGUAGAGGGGGGUAGAAUUCCAGGU